UCUAUCACUUCUGACUAAACUUACACAUGCAAGACUCCCCGCCCCAGUGAAAACGCCCCUCUCUUCCUAAUUAGAAGAAAAGGAGCCGGUAUCAGGCCACUUUGCCCAUUACACCUAGCAUAGCCACACCCCCAAGGGUUCUCAGCAGUGACAAACAUUACACAUUAGCGGAAGCUAGACUUAGUUAUAGUCAAGAUAGUCGGCCAACUCCGUGCCAGCCGCCGCGGUUAGACGGGGGACUAAAAAUGAUAGACACCGGCGUAAAGCGUGAACAGAGGCCAUUUACACUAAAGUUAAAUCACCAUCCAGCAGUCACAUGCAAAUACCCCAGAGAAAUCCCCCCACGAAAGUGACUUUACGCAACCCCCGCUCCACGACAACUAGGAUACAAACUGGAAUCAGAUACUCCACUAUGCCUAGCCGUAAACUUUGAUUAAUUACAACCAUAUCCGCCCGGGUACUACGAGCCGUAGCUUAAAACCCAAGAGACUUGGCGGUGCUCUACACCCACUUAGAGGAGCCUGUUCUAUAAUCGAUGAUCCACGAUUCACCUCACCACCCCUUGCCAAAUCCGCCUAUAUACCGCCGUCGCCAGCCCACCUUUUGAGAGGUUAACAGUAAGCUCAAGGGUAAAGCCACUAAUACGUCAGGUCAAGGUGUAGCAGAUGGGGUGGAAAGAAAUGGGCUACAUUUUCUAAUUUAGAAUAAACGGAAAAUCAUCAUGAAACUUGAUCAGAAGGAGGAUUUAACAGUAAAAAGAAAACAGCAAGUUCUUUUGAAGCUGGCCCUAGAGCGCGUACACACCGCCCGUCACCCUCUUCGACUCAACAGGUAUAUUUACAUAAGACCGCCUUAAAGAACCUAGAAGAGGUAAGUCGUAACAUGGUAAGCGUACCGGAAGGUGCGCUUGGA
rnacentral:ncRNA from 1 species